rnacentral:rRNA from 1 species
GUAAUGGCCUACCAGGCGACGACGGGUAGCCGACCUGAGAGGGUGACCGGCCCACUGGGACUGAGACACGGCCCAGACUCCUACGGGAGGCAGCAGUGGGGAAUAUUGCGCAAUGGGCGGAAGCCUGACGCAGCGACGCCGCGUGGGGGAUGACGGCCUUCGGGUUGUAAACCUCUUUCAGCAGGGACGAAGCGUGAGUGACGGUACCUGCAGAAGAAGCACCGGCUAACUACGUGCCAGCAGCCGCGGUAAUACGUAGGGUGCGAGCGUUGUCCGGAAUUACUGGGCGUAAAGAGUUCGUAGGCGGUUUGUCGCGUCGUUUGUGAAAACCCGGGGCUCAACUUCGGGCUUGCAGGCGAUACGGGCAGACUAGAGUGCGGUAGGGGAGACUGGAAUUCCUGGUGUAGCGGUGAAAUGCGCAGAUAUCAGGAGGAACACCGGUGGCGAAGGCAGGUCUCUGGGCAGUCACUGACGCUGAGGAGCGAAAGUGUGGGGAGCGAACAGGAUUAGAUACCCUGGUAGUCCACACCGUAAACGGUGGGCGCUAGG